rnacentral:tRNA from 1 species
AAUUUUAGUAUAAUUUAGUAUAUUUAAUUGCAAAUUAAAUGGUAAUAAGUUCUU